rnacentral:lncRNA from 1 species
AGACACCUCAUUCCGUGACUCCACACACCUCUCAUGCUGGGAAGCUUCCACCUACUCCUUCUCCUCCUCCUUGCACCACCCAGUUUAAUCGCUACCAAUGUCCUGAACCACUUCCUUGAUCUUCUGACAGCGUGCAUCCGUGAGUGAGUCACUUUCUGAGCAAAGCCUUAUUCACCUUCCCCCAUUUCCGAUAUCGGCCUGGAUGAACAGUUUAGAGUGGAAGAAGAACUGUGUAAAGGGAAGGGUCACAAGAGAACCUGGGACUGUGAAAGCAUAAGGAUCCCACACAUCCAUUGCUUGGAUUUGGGAAGCCAGAAACAAUCAUGUCCCUACACGACAUCUUCAGUAGACUUCGAAGACUCCGUGGCAGGAAGUGUCUGGGAAAGAAAUUAGGGACUUCAGGACAGUGACUAAUCUGGGUCCCUUUCCCUACGGAGCACCAGCAACCUUAGAAAACAGCAACCCAUGAUUGACUUUGGUGUGGGCAAGGAUGGGAGCAUGACAGAAAUUUGAAUGAACAGAAGCACAACAGAUAAUUUCGUGUGGUUAACAAGAAGAGGAUUUCAGGCAGCACAGAGACAUUGUUUGUGAGGGCUUUUAGAACUGCUUUGGAGUAAUUAAAGUGAAACUG